GUAGGGAAUAUUGGGCAAUGGAUGCAAGUCUGACCCAGCAACGCCGCGUGAAGGAAGAAGGUUUUCGGAUCGUAAACUUCUAUCCUUGGUGAAGAUAAUGACGGUAGCCAAGAAGGAAGCCCCGGCUAACUACGUGCCAGCAGCCGCGGUAAUACGUAGGGGGCAAGCGUUGUCCGGAAUGAUUGGGCGUAAAGGGCGCGUAGGCGGCCUGGUAAGUCUGGAGUGAAAGUCCUGCUUUUAAGGUGGGAAUUGCUUUGGAUACUGUCGGGCUUGAGUGCAGGAGAGGUAAGUGGAAUUCCCGGUGUAGCGGUGAAAUGCGUAGAGAUCGGGAGGAACACCAGUGGCGAAGGCGACUUACUGGACUGUAACUGACGCUGAGGCGCGAAAGUGUGGGGAGCAAACAGGAUUAGAUACCCUUGUAGUCC
rnacentral:rRNA from 1 species